rnacentral:rRNA from 1 species
GACGAACGCUGGCGGCGUGCUUAACACAUGCCAGUCGAACGGUAAGGACCUGCUUUUGCGGGGUUCUCAAGUGGCGAAAGGGUGAGUAUCACGUGAGUAGCCUGCCCUUUACUUUGGGAUAACUUCAGUAAACACGGGCUAAUAUCGCACAUGAUCUCCUUCAGCAUGGUGGGUGUUGUAAAGUUGCGGCGGUUCGGGAUGGACGCGCGGCUUAUCAUCUUGUUGGUGGGGUAGUGGCUUACCAAGGCUUUGACGGGUAGCUGGCUUGAGAGGGUGACCGGCCACAUAGGGACUGAGAUACGAGCCAGACGCCUACGGGAGGCAGGGGUGGGGAAUAGUGCGAGAUGGGCGGAAGCCGGAUGCAGCAACGCCGGGUGCGGGAUGACGGCCUUCGGGUUGUAAACCGCUUGCGCCUGUGACGAAGCGUGAGUGACGGUAAUGGGUAAAGAAGCACCGGCUAACUACGUG